GGAAGACUCAUGGCUCAGUGGUCGAGCACCUGCUCUGCAUGCAGAAGGCCUCAGGUUCGGUUCCUGGCAUCUUCCU